rnacentral:rRNA from 1 species
GACGAACGCUGGCGGCGUGCUUAACACAUGCAAGUCGAACGAAGUGGCGGACGGGUGAGUAACGCGUAAUCAACCUGCCCUUCAGAGGGGGACAACAGUUGGAAACGACUGCUAAUACCGCAUACUGAAGGAGGAGUUUGCGUCGGAUUAGCUAGUUGGAGGGGUAACGGCCCACCAAGGCGAUGAUCAGUAGCCGGUCUGAGAGGGUGGACGGCCACAUUGGGAACGAGAAACGGCCCAGAAUCCUACGGGAGGGAGCAAUGGGGGAACUGUCGCAAUGGACGAAAGUCUGAAGGAGCAAAGGCGGGGGAGUGAUGACGGGCUUCGGGUUGUAAAGCUAUGUUAAUCGGGACGCGGUACCGGAAGAGAAAGCCACGGCUAACUACGUGCCAGCAGCCGCGGUAAUUC